AAUGGGGUGACCGUUCAAUGCUUGCAACCAUAGCUCUUGGGCAGGUCAGUGUUUUCAAAGAGCUCUGCGGUCAACUGUCUUCUAUUAGGUGCAGAUGUUAACCGUCAAGCUGUUGAAGUUCAGCUAUGUUUAUUACCGGAUUUUGUAAUGGAUGUAUAGGUUUGUUUAAUUAGGUUUUGUGUUUAUGAUCAUUAACCUAAAUGGAUUCUCAAUCGUUCUAAAAAUUGAAGAUGCACCAGACGCUCUGUACCGUUGCCGAGAUCUCGACAGGUAUAUGUUUCGUAUUUGGCCGACUAAUAAAAAUGUUCAGGGUAA